GAGGGUAUAGCACAGUGGUAGAGUACAUGCUUAGCAUGCACAAGGUCCUAGGUUCAAUCCCCAGUACCUCCA
rnacentral:tRNA from 1 species